GAUGAACGCUGGCGGCGUGCCUAAUACAUGCAAGUCGAGCGAACAGACGAGGAGCUUGCUCCUCUGACGUUAGCGGCGGACGGGUGAGUAACACGUGUAUAACCUACCUAUCAGACUGGGAUAACUUCGGGAAACCGGGGCUAAUACCGGAUAAUAUAUUGAACCGUAUGGUUCAAUAGUGAAUGACGGCUUUGCUGUCACUUAUAGAUGGAUCUGCGCCGCAUUAGCUAGUUGGUAGGGUAACGGCUUACCAAGGCUACGAUGCGUAGCCGACCGGAGGGGGUGAUCGGCCACACUGGAGGUGAGACACGCACCAGGGUCCUGCGAGAGGGAGCAGUAGGGAAUGUUACGCAGUGGGCGAGAGCAUGACGGAGCGAGGCGGCGUCUGUGAUGAAGGUGUUCGGAUCGUAAAACUCUGUUAUGGGGGAAAAACAGAUGUGUAAGUAGCUAUGCACGUCUUGACGGUACCUGGUCAGAAAGCCACGGCUAACUACGUG
rnacentral:rRNA from 1 species